rnacentral:lncRNA from 1 species
GGAGGAGCUGAGCGGGCUGGACGAGGAGCGGCAGACGGCGGUGAGGACGUUCGAGGUUUGCUCGGGGUUGCACCCCCCCGGCCCCCCCCAGAACAGCUGGCUGCGUUCCACCUGGGUGCCGCGCCGGGGGGCCACCUACGUCUACGCCGAGCUGCGCUACACCGUGGUGGAAUGCGACAGCCUGCUGGCCAGGGCCCGACGAAACCGCCCCGCCGCCCUUAGCGACCGACCUCGGGGUGGGGGGGGGCGCGGUCUCCAUGGCAACGGCCCCGGAGAUGGAUGGAGUGGUCCCCAUGGCAACGGCCCUGGAAGCAGGCUGAGCCGCAGUGUCCAUGGCAACGGCCUUGGAGAUGGAUGGAGUGGUCUCCAUGGCAACGGGCCCAGGGAUGGAUGGAGUGGUCCCCAUAGCAACGGCCUUGGAGAUGGAUGGAGUGGUUCCCAUGGCAACGGACCCGGUGAUGGAUGGAGCGGUCCCCAUGGCAACAGUCCUAGCAGCAGGGAUGCUCUUAGCAACAGCCCUGGCAACGGACCCAGGAACACCGAUAUCCAUGGCAACGGCCCUAGCAACCGACCCUGGACCACGGAUGCCCUUAGCAACGCCCCUAGCAACGGACCCAGGAACACCGAUAUCCAUGGCAACGCCCCUAGCAACGGGCCCUGGAACACGGAUGCCCUUAGCAACGCCCCUAGCAACGGAACAAACGGAUGCUACGCCCCUAGCAACGGCCCCGACGGCCGCCGCUCCCCUAGCAACGCCCCUAGCAACGCCCCUAGCAACGGAACAAACGGAUGCUACGUCCCUAGCAACGGCCCCAUCCACAGCCCCGACGGCCGCCGCUCCC